rnacentral:rRNA from 1 species
UACGAAGGGGGCUAGCGUUGUUCGGAAUUACUGGGCGUAAAGCGCGCGCAGGCGGUCCUUUAAGUCAGGGGUGAAAAGCCCAGAGCUCAACUCUGGAACUGCCUUUGAAACUAGAGGACUUGGGUACGGGAGAGGUGAGUGGAAUUCCGAGUGUAGAGGUGAAAUUCGUAGAUAUUCGGAAGAACACCAGUGGCGAAGGCGGCUCACUGGCCCGUUACCGACGCUCAGGCGCGACAGCGU